UUCAAAUGUUGUUAUCUACAACAUCAGAAAUAAUCCCUUCCUUGCUUAAUUCUUGGUAUGAGUAAUCACAUUGCAAGGAGGUGAUGAUUUUUGAAGCUUUAGGUACCACUGACACUAUGAACAAGAAAGUCAUUGCAAGGUAUGUUUCUAAAUUGAGGAUAUUGUGGACACAAUGAUAAAGCAAGACAUUGAGCAGGUAAGGACUUGAUUUCAUCUUUUUCUUGUAAUGAAGAAAUAGUUAUAGUCUUGUGUUUAUAUGAUCUCAUCUUUCUAUAUAUUUCUGAAAUUGGUUCAAUAUCAUUAUGCAAUUGUUGUUUCGCAUUCAGAUAAAACAUUUCGAUGAUUCUCUUCUAUAAAUUUUCUAAUGGUAUACUUUGCACUCAGAAACACCAUCUUGGAUUUAAGCUAAACAAGGCCUGUCCAUGUCUAUUAGCUGUUUUUGAUUGGGUUUUCGAUUACUAUAUAUUGCAUUGUUUGAGUCUUUCAUUUUGAACAUCCUUUUCAACCCUUACAAAAUUGUACCUUUGAGGAAUGUUUUAUGGACUUUGUAAUGUGAUAAAGUAAUGAUCUAGGGGUUCUUGAAAACAGCUAUACCUCAAGGGCAGCACAGCUUCUUCAGAAAAUUGUCUGUAAGGACUUGUCUGCAGAUUUGUUGAUCUCAUCUUAGAUGUUAGAAUCUAAUAAAUCCAGUCUUCUUUUCCUUAUUAUUAGUUUCAAAUUUUAUAGUCACAUUGAAUGCAAUUGAAUAUGGAAUUUGGAUUAUCAGUUCAAAAUGUCAAAUGAGUCCGUCUGAAUUAUUUCUUGGUUUUUGAUACAAAGUUGUCUGAUGUGUGUUUUUGAUUACUUCGAUUAACUAGGUGUUUUUGAUAGAUUGUUUUACAGUUAACUUGGAUAUUAUGCGCCAAGACGGUUCAUAUCCUAUGGGAAAUGUGCCUCAACUCAUCGGGACUGCUCCUAUGUCUACCACCGAUUCCCGCACUACUGGUCAGGUAGAAUGGAUUUUGAUUAUGUGUUCAUUCAUAGUUCCUAUUUACCCCUAAAUUUGAGAUUACUACAGUUCGGA
rnacentral:lncRNA from 1 species